UGCAAGUCGAACGGUGAAGGCGGAGCUUGCUCUGCUGGAUCAGUGGCGAACGGGUGAGUAACACGUGAGCAAUCUGCCCCUGACUCUGGGAUAAGCGCUGGAAACGGCGUCUAAUACUGGAUACGAGCUGCGAAGGCAUCUUCAGCAGCUGGAAAGAAUUUCGGUCAGGGAUGAGCUCGCGGCCUAUCAGCUUGUUGGUGAGGUAAUGGCUCACCAAGGCGUCGACGGGUAGCCGGCCUGAGAGGGUGACCGGCCACACUGGGACUGAGACACGGCCCAGACUCCUACGGGAGGCAGCAGUGGGGAAUAUUGCACAAUGGGCGAAAGCCUGAUGCAGCAACGCCGCGUGAGGGACGACGGCCUUCGGGUUGUAAACCUCUUUUAGCAGGGAAGAAGCGAAAGUGACGGUACCUGCAGAAAAAGCGCCGGCUAACUACGUGCCAGCAGCCGCGGUAAUACGUAGGGCGCAAGCGUUAUCCGGAAUUAUUGGGCGUAAAGAGCUCGUAGGCGGUUUGUCGCGUCUGCUGUGAAACCCCGAGGCUCAACCUCGGGCCUGCAGUGGGUACGGGCAGACUAGAGUGCGGUAGAGGAGAUUGGAAUUCCUGGUGUAGCGGUGGAAUGCGCAGAUAUCAGGAGGAACACCGAUGGCGAAGGCAGAUCUCUGGGCCGUAACUGACGCUGAGGAGCGAAAGGGUGGGGAGCAAACAGGCUUAGAUACCCUGGUAGUCCACCCCGUAAACGUUGGGAACUAGUUGUGGGGUCCAUUCCACGGAUUCCGUGACGCAGCUAACGCAUUAAGUUCCCCGCCUGGGGAGUACGGCCGCAAGGCUAAAACUCAAAGGAAUUGACGGGGACCCGCACAAGCGGCGGAGCAUGCGGAUUAAUUCGAUGCAACGCGAAGAACCUUACCAAGGCUUGACAUAUACGAGAACGGGCCAGAAAUGGUCAACUCUUUGGACACUCGUAAACAGGUGGUGCAUGGUUGUCGUCAGCUCGUGUCGUGAGAUGUUGGGUUAAGUCCCGCAACGAGCGCAACCCUCGUUCUAUGUUGCCAGCACGUAAUGGGUGGGAACUCAUGGAAUACUGCCGGGGUCAACUCGGAGGAAGGUUGAGGAUGACGUCAAAUCAUCAUGCCCCUUAAUGUCUUGGGCUUCACGCAUGCUACAAUG
rnacentral:rRNA from 1 species